rnacentral:rRNA from 1 species
AUGUCGAGCUCCGCUUCAGCCUCCCGCCGCUCAUGGCCGCGCUAUGGCGCAGUGCCCAUGACAAGGUGCCCUGCAUGCUCACGUAUCGCACCCCUGAAGCGGCUAGUCACAACGACCGACAAGAAUGGCAACCUUGGGCGGGAAUUCGUGAAAUGCGAGAGCAAACCAGAGCAAGGAAAGAAAUUGAAGCAAUGCACCCAUUUUGAGUGGCUAGAUGAGUACAUAGAGCGGAUUCAACUGGAGGGUGCAUCAGGGGAGCUCGAUUUACCGUUGGAGGCGGAGAAGUUGGGCAAGUUUGGAUCGGGCGCUUCUGGAUCUGGGGCCCGGGCCCCUGGAUCUGCCCAUUCCAUUGGGGCUACUGUGAGGGAUGCAGUAGUGACGGCAGAGCUGAAGAAGCUAAACAAGCAGAUGAAGAAACUCAUCGAAUUGCAGAAGCAGGGCAAUUUGAUGGGGCUGAUGGCCGGACUUUUUUAUGUUUGUGUAAUUGCUCUCGCAUUUCUUUAUGUG